CACUAAUUCUGCUCAAAGGAUUGACCAGGUUUAUUUUGAUUUGUUGUUGUGGUGGGGGAGGUUCUGUAGGUUUUAUACUCGCCCAUGUAUGCCUGUGGUUCUAAAUUGAAAGUUUGUGUCCACUGGAACUCAAUUAAGGGAUAAACAUGAGUGGUGUACACAAGAAUACUAGCAUCUGUGAUGAUGAGAGUGCUCACUAUAGAUCAUUUGCAAGGCAAGGACCAAAUGGGAAUUCUGAUUUUCUUGAUCACGAAAUUGCUCAGCUCACAAAACUAAGAUCAGCACCCAAUUUUUAAGUAAGAAUGUACCUGGCAAGUUCAGGCUACCAGUCUCAACUGUGAAAAUGUUGGUUGGUCGAGAGUGUAAUUAUUCUGGGAGGG
rnacentral:misc_RNA from 1 species